CAUAAACGGGCCAGUCAGAUUCAGAUUCUCCUUUCAGAGAAUUAAAAGUGUUCUCACAGGUUUUCAACAAAUAAAACACAGAGCUCAUCGCCAGACCUACGCUGUAUGCUCAGUAAUGGACAGUUCUGGUGAUAAAGAGGAUGACAAUGAUGAUGUUUACAGGACGGCGAGGUCAUGUGGAAUGACUUCUAGUCCAAGAAGCAGAAGCAGCAUCUGGAGAACUGCACAGGCAAUAUAUCCAUCAGUGCCAAGAACUUGCAAUUCAACAGUGGAAUAAAUCACAAGAGCAAGCAAAUCACCAGGCUUAAAAUUAUUGAAAUAUUGCAAGAUGAAUGAAAAUUCAUCUACUUUUCAAAUGAAGCAUUCAAAAUGCGAAAGCAAGGCCAGUGUUUCCUUCUCCCUGUCAUAGGUUUUGCUUAUGCCCCUCUUGCAGCAAUGUUCACAAUCUCCUAAUUGAUCUCUUGCCUCUGAAAACUGGUGGUGUUUCACCAUUUCUAUAUUGCCAAACUUUUUAUCAUAGCAUCUUGCGCAGGAAGUGAACUGAAAUUAUUUUUUUGAACAAAUACAUUAAGUUACUUG